rnacentral:tRNA from 1 species
UGGGGUGUAGCCAAGUGGUAAGGCAAUGGAUUUUGGUUCCAUUAUGCGGGGGUUCGAAUCCCCCCACUCCAG